CUUUAAUGUGCUAACGUCUGUGGCAGAUACAGCCCGGGGCCUUUACACGAGAUAAAUGGAGUCCCCCGUCGUCCUUUCGUCUGGAGUGGAGACUAUGAUACGUCUGGUCAUAAGAUUGUGAGCGAAGAGAGAUGAAUCAUAAUGUCCCAUCUGCCCUACUUCCAUCAAUAGUGAAGACAAGCCCAACGUUCUCAGCUACACCUGGCCUGGAAAGGAGGGCCUGGAUCAUUUCCACACGAGGUUGGCUGUGUUUAUGAGCUUUGGACUAGCUUGUCUGCGUCACAGUUGAAUCAG